UACGUAGGGACCAAGCGUUGUUCGGAUUUACUGGGCGUAAAGGGCGCGUAGGCGGCAAUUCAAGUCAUCUGUGAAAUCUCCGGGCUUAACCCGGAACGGUCAGAUGAUACUGCUUUGCUAGAGUGCGGAAGGGGCAAUCGGAAUUCUUGGUGUAGCGGUGAAAUGCGUAGAUAUCGAGAGGAACACCUGCGGCGAAGGCGGGUUGCUGGGCUGACACUGACGCUGAUGCGCGAAAGCUAGGGGAGCGAAUGGG
rnacentral:rRNA from 1 species